UAUAUAUUACGAUAUUUUGCCUUGGCCUUGAAUGAACACUUGAUGCAUAUAAUCACAGCAGUAUGAUGAUUCUAUGUGUCUACAUUAAAACAUUCUUCUUCAUACUGCAUUAAUAUAUGCUACUUUUAAACUUUCAUGCAGAGAGGAAAAUCACAACUAAGUCAAUUGACCAAAACUGUAUUUAUUAAAUACUCUUCAAUCUCUCAAGUGUGAAUUUUUAAAUGAAAUAAAUUAUUAGUGUUGCUACCUUUUUGUAGUAACACUUCUGCUGUACACUUUGCAUUGAUUGAUUGAUACUUUUAUCAGUAGAUUGCACAGUUUAGAACAUAUUACGUACAAUUGACCACUAAAUGGUAACACCCGAAUAAGUUUUUCAACUUGUUUAAGUCGGGGUCCACGUUAAUCAAUUCAUGGUAAAAAUAUAUGCUAUCAGCAUAAUACAGUCAUCAUCCUAGUAUAUACAUUGAACAGCAUAUUGCUGUUGUCUGCUGAAUAUCUUCCCACUUGGAGCCAAACCACCGCCAGAUGAUGGACCCCCGGCUCUUUAUGUUGGGCAUUUAUUGUUCUUCCUCCAUUUGUGAUAAGUUUCGCACCAGCUCUCUCUCUCUGAUCGGCGAGAGCUAUGACGCUAGACUCGCGAGAGUAUGUGACGUAUGUAAGAAGGCGGGCUUGUUUUCCGUGUCUGUCAGAAUGAGAGACGAGGAGGAGGAGAAACGCCUCUUGUGUGAUGCACGCAGCUAAAAGCAACUUGACCUGCCUCAGCUAACGCUAACCUUGCUAACGUUAUCUGUCGGCGAGAGCGUGUAACGCUAGACACGCGACAGUAUGUGACGUAUGUAAGAAGGCGGGCUUUUUUUACGUCUCUGUGAGAAGGACGGACGAGAAGGAAUGAGGCACGCCAGUAAUGCACGCAGCUUAAAGCCACGGUGUGAGAACAUAUAAUCGAAUAUUACGAUAUAGUAAUUUUCUAUAUCGCACAGAGACAAACCUGCGAUAUAUCGUAUAUAUGGAUAUAUCGCCCAGCCCUAUGUUAUAGUUAUUUGAAUGACUCUUACCAUAAUAUGUUACGUUGACAUACCAGGCACCUUCUCAUUUGGUUAUUUAUGCGUCAUAUAACGUACACUUAUUCAGCCUGUUGUUCACUAUUCUUUAUUUAUUUUAAAUUGCCUUUCAAAUGUCUAUUCUUGGUGUUGGAUUUUAUCAAAUAAACUUCCCCCAAAAAUGCGACAUAUAUUCCAGUGUGACUUAUGUUUUUUUCCUUCUUUAUUAUGCAUUUUCGGCAGGUGCGACUUAUACUCCAGAGCGACUUAUACUCCGAAAAAUACGGUAGUUCUAAUGUGUUUAAUCAAAGAAAAGUGAAAAAACAUCAUUGUAAUUCCUGCAUCAAUGGAACAAAGUUUGGAUACCCACUGAUCCCUAUUCACUGCUGUAACGUGCAUGCCAGGUCGGUAGUUGGGGGCAUACUUGUCCUUUCAUGCAAAACUGAAAACAUUUUUUUACAGUUUUGUAAUGGAAAAACUCAAGCACGUUUUGUAAUCUAUUCUCAGUUAAUAACAGUCUUCUCCUCAACGGAUUUUGGUAAGAGGCGGAAGAAAACAUUCUAAGAAGGGGAGUUUCGGGCGGAGGGGGGAAUAAAGUAAAACAAACUCAAAGUGUGUGACCAACAUGUGACCUUCCUCUCGAGUCUGAAGCACAUUCAGACAACAUCAAAAAGAGGAGUAGAACAGCCAGUGGGCGGCCUUUUGCAGGAUUAAGCCAACAGUGGAGAAAGAGCGUACAAAAGACCAAUAGGGGAGGACAAGGAAGAGAUUAAAAUAAAAAGAGAGAGGGCAAGGUGGAGGGGAGGGUUAGAUAUGACCCCAUUUCGGUGGCUUGACAAGUGGAGGAAGUGUCACUUCCAGGGAGCAAGAAAAGCCGCGACUGGGAUGAUGCAGCAGAAGCUGAGAUUUCCAAGACUUUUAAGGCAGUACAGAUCCCACACCGACUCCUAACACUUGAGCUUUGAUACAAGCCGUCAGCCUUAAACUCUUUAAUGUGCUCUAAUCUGUAUACAGUGUCAUGUGCUACAACACGCUGACAGAAGCAGAUUAAAGUUUCACAGCCAAUCAGCGGGCACAAAUAGGGAAUCCCCAAUAAAUCUACAGGGGAGGGAGGAGGAAGACGAAAAAAGUAAAAAUAGCCCUGGUGUGGCCAGUUCAGCCAAUGGUUAAAGCCCACCGAGAUGUAUAAAUAAAUAAACAGAGCGAAAAUAAACAGGAGGGUAACAUGUCCUAAGGGCAUCCCCUAUUGGCAUAGGCAGAAUUUCUUAUUCCUUCCCCGCGCUGUGCAGCUCCCACACAGACGAGAUCGCACACACCAUUUGAAGUUAUUUGCUUUUUCUAUCCUGCGUCUUCAACUCGUGGCUCUGACGUUGCUCUCUUCACUUUCCUUGUCUCUCAUUAAUGAUCUCAUUACUCAGUCUCCUUUUCCUGAGGCCCAGAAUGAAGGUAGUUCCAGAGAUUGGCCUAUAAGCGCUGCCAAGAAAACGGCACGUGCUACAACCACACCAGAAUCGGGAGUUUUAGGGAACGAGUUAGGUAAAAGGCCAUAUUUGUCAGGAGUCCCUACUACAAACACGUUGGGAACUUGUGUUAGAUGUAAAUAUAAACGGAAUACUCUGAUUUGCAAAUCAUUUUCAACUCAUAUUCAGUUGAAUAUGCUACAAAGACAACAUAUUUGAUGUUCAAACUCAAACAUUUUUUUUGUUUGCAAAUAAUCAUUAACUUUAGAAUUUGAUGCCAGCAACAUGUGACAAAGAAGUUGGGAAAGGUGGCAAUAAAUACUGAUAAAGUUUAGGAAUGCUCAUCAAACAGUUAUUUGGAACAUCCCACAGGUGUGCAGGCUAAUUGGGAACAGGUGGGCCAUGAUUGGGUAUAAAAGCAGCUUCAAUGAAAUGCUAAAUAAUUCACAAACAAGGAUGGGGCGAGGGUCACCAAUUUGUAAGCAAAUUAGUCGAACAGUUUUAAAACAACAUUUCUCAACGAGCUAUUGCAAGGAAUUUAGGGAUUAUACCAUCUACGGUCCAUAAAAUCAUCAAAAGGUUCAGAGAAUCUGGAGAAAACACUGCACGUAAGCGAUGAUAUUACGGACCUUUGAUCCCUCAGGCGGUACUGCAUCAAAAACCGACAUCAGUGUGUAAAGGAUUUCACCACAUGGGCUCAGGAACACUUCAUAAAACCACUGUCAGUAACUACAGUUGGUUGCUACAUCGGUAAGUGCAAGUUAAAACUCUGCUAUGCAAAGCAAAACUCAUUUAUCAACAACACCAAGGAACGCCGCUGGCUUCGCUGGGCCAGAGCUCAUCUAAGAUGGACUGAUGCAAAGUUGAAAAGUGUUCCGUGGUCUGACGAGUCCACAUUUCAAAUUAUAUUUGGAAACUGUGGACUUGGUGUCCUCCGGAACAAAGAGGAAAAUAACCAUCCGGAUUGUUAUAGGCGCAAAGUUCAAAAGCCAGCAUCUGUGAUGGUAUGGGGGUGUAUUAGUGCCCAAGGCAUGGGUAACUUACACAUCUGUGAAGGCACCAUUAAUGCUAUAUGGUCCACACAGGUUUUGGACAACAUAUGUUGUCAUCCAAGCAACGUUAUCAUGGACGCCCCUGCUUAUUUCAGCAAGACAAUGCCAAGCCACGUGUUACAAUUGCGCGGUUUCGUAGUAAAAGAGUGCGGGUACUUUCCUGGCCCGCCUGCAAUCCAGACCUGUCUCCCAUCGAAAAUGUGUGGCGCAUUAUGAAGCGUAAAAUACGACUGCGGAGAUCCCGGACCGUUGAACGACUAAAGCUCUACAUAAAACAAGAAUGAGAAAGAAUUCCACUUUCAAACCUACAACAAUUAGUUUCCUCAGUUCCCAAACGUUUAAUGAGUGUUGUCAAAAGAAAAGGUGAUGUAAGACAGUGGUGAACAUGCCCUUUCCCAACUACUUAGGCACAUGUUGCAGCCAUGAAAUUCUAAGUUAAUUAUUAUUUGCAAAAAAAAAUAAAGUUUAUGAGUUUGAACAUCAAAUAUCUUGUCUUUGUAGUGCAUUCAACUGAAUAUGGGUUGAAAAUUAUUUGCAAAUCACUGUAUUCCGUUUAUAUUUACAUCAAACACAAUUUCCCAACUCAUAUGGAAACGGGGUUUGUAAAACUAAAAACACAAAUUAAAAAUGAAGACGCAAAAUAACUUACCGGCAAACUGGAUGGCCGGCCCUGCAUGCUGUCUUCUUGACUGCUCUUGUUGGAAGGCAUGGGCUGGUUGGAAGGGGGGGCACUGGACUGGGAGCUAAAAGAAUCCUGGGAAAGUUCCUGGUGCGAGGAGAAAAACGUCAAAUCAAGCAGUUUGUCUUGAAUGUUUGGCUCCUUCUGCUAAUAAACAGAAUACAAGACAACCUAUUAGGCCGUAAGGUGAACCCGUUUUUCGUUCAAUCUCGUUCCCAUGUCCGGGCACUAAAUAAUUUUUGGUUCUUAAAAAAGAUAUUUUGGUUUUAUAUGAGAAAAAAAAAAUUCUCCACUGGACAUGCAGGCAAAAUUUUGGAAUUAGUGUUUAAAGUCGGGACUAUUUCUUGCUUGGCGUAACAAUAUUUUUGUCUCAAGAGGUGACGUUCUUGUCACCUGCUUCACAUUCGACCAAUCAGGUAGCCGCGCAGAUGGCGAUGUCAACAACGUCCGGCUAUGAAGAGGAAAAUGCUCUAAAACAGCUAAAACACCUUAAAACAUACAUGUUACGUCUGUUAGGAAUGAAGAGGUGAAUGAUUUCACGAUUGAUCCGUGUUAAGGAAAGAAUGAUUGGGGCCAUGUAUCGUGAGAUUUUGAGCCCAAACCUCCUUCCAUCAGUGAGAGCUUUGAAUGGUUGACCAAAUACUUAUUUUCCACCAUAAUUUACAAAUAAAUUCUUUAAAAUUCCUACAAUGGGAAUUUCUUGAUUUUUUUUCACAUUCUGUCUCUCACAGUUGAAGUGUACCUAUGAUGAAAAUUACAGACCUCUGUCAUCAUUUUAAGUGGGAAAACUUGCACAAUCGGUGGCUGACUAAAUACUUUUUUGCCCCACUGUAAAUCCUGUAUCGAUGUUGAAUUUAAAGAUAUUCCUGAUGACGCUAGGCUUUACCCGACUUAUUCCCGGCGGUUCAUUGAUAAGAAGCGUUUGGAUUCUGCCGAAAAACUGGCCAAACGGUUGGAUGUGGGUCAAAAAUGAGUUUGUGGCAUCGGACAACGCUUCGGGCUCGACAACUGGCAUUCUAAAGAAAAAACUAAGAUCGAAGACCGGCCUGCCUAUCGCUUCUGCUGGCCCUGUGCUCCCUGCCAUUUGUAUCAUUUGCAAGAAAACGGACGAGAGAAUUACCGUGGGAGGCAACCGGCAGAAGGACCAUUUUUCACAGGCAGAAACGCUUCCAGCAGAAGUGAACCAACCUUUGAUGCCAGCUACAACAUAUUCUGCGAGAGGAUCAUCCGCCAAAGGAUAAUUGUCAAUCAGGAGGUGUGCUGAGAAUGAAGCAGCUACGAGGAAUGUUUUUAAACAUGGUGCAAAAACAUGAGGAUUGUGAGGCUUCAAACUACAGGCAGGAUCAAUUAAAGAGAAGGCUGACUCUGGACUAUCCCCAACUGGUGUUUCAAGCGCAACAUCUGCGAACUGGUUUUUGUUGAAACAUUGUCUGCAGUUAAGCUGAUAGACAUGCAACCUCAUCCAUCAGGUACAGACACAACUGAGUCAACUGAAGUAAGCCAAGGUGAAAGUGACACUGCACACAUGGCAAGAACAGCAGCUGGUCCGCAAACUACUGAGAACACGAGGACACUUUAUAGUGCAGUGCUGAUAUUGAAGCAGCUACUAUGUGACUCUCACGGUAUGACGUGCCUCUGGCCACCCACAUCAGAUGAUUUAAAUGUGUCCCAUGCCAAAUCUGUUAUGCCACUUGAACUGUACAAUAUUAUUGCUUGGAUUGUAGGUGCAGCAGAAGAACCAACAUUAGCCUGUUAUGUUGAUAUUCCAGAAGAUGUGGACCUAAAAGUGUUAUCUGUUUGUCAAGACAUUUUGUAUCUUGCAUCUAAAGGUCAGAGGCAGACACCCACAUAAAAGCACAUGGGAAGAUGGCUCUGAUGAUAGUGAAAGCUAAGAGAUGUACAAUGUUUCCCUCGUUCAGAAUACACAAAGUCACACUUAAUCAGUUAGCUCUCUAAUAAAAAUUUUAGUUUUUGCCCCAUUUGAGAAAAAUCACUCAGAGUAUUUUACUGUUUCUUUUUUUGAGUUACCUAAGUUAAAUACUUUAAAAAUAGAAUGUGAGGUUGCAGUGCACUUGACCUUAAAAAAAAUAUAAUAAUCAUAGUAUGAGUUUGUGCCAAAUUUGAGGAAAAUCUAUCAAAGAAUUCUUGAGAUAUGGCUUUAACAAUGUGCUAAUUGAAGACAAAAUAACAAAACAAUAUAUGUAUAAAAAUACCCAAGACCUGCUGUGACAACUCAUUGUUUGGUUCAUGUAAAUAUUGUUUUAUACCAUAUUCAGAUUCUGAACUGUAAUGCAGUUUUUGUCGUAUUUCCAUUUUUUGGCAUUAUUCAAUAUUUUGAUUGUUAGCCAUUUUCGGCCAAAGUGUUCUUUAUUUUAUUUUAUUUUUUACUUCCUCUUAUAACACAGUGUUUACUGAAAUUUUUAAUGUAUAAAACAUUAUUGUUAAGCAAAAUGUACCAUGUUUAUGUUCAAUUGUACAGUUUGCUAUUCACUUACUUUGAAGCGUUUUUUUCAUUUGUUUUGUAUGUUUCAUGGUUUAAAUUCAAAUUAA